ensembl:snRNA
GUGUUGAGUGAGGAGAGAGAAGGUUUGCACUCCCCUCGACAAGAAUGGAACAGUCCUUCUGGCCUGACAACACGCACACAGAGGUGGCUUAAGACAGGGCCACCUAACUGUGGUUUUUC